rnacentral:rRNA from 1 species
CCCUUAGAUGUCCUGGGCUGCACGCGCGCUACACUGAUGUGUCCAGUAAGCACCUAACCUCUUCCGAAAGGAACGGGUAACCUUUGCAAAGCACAUCGUGAUGGGGAUAGAUUAUUGCAAUUAUUAGUCUUGAACGAGGAAUUCCUAGUAAGCACAAGUCAUCAGCUUGUGUUGAUUACGUCUCUGCCCUUUGUACACACCGCCCGUCGCUCCUACCGAUUGAAUGUUCCGGUGAGCUCUUCGGACUGCGCGGUCUGCAGUUUCUGCGUUCCGUGCGGAAAGUUGCGCAAACCUUAACAUUUAGAGGAAGGAGAAGUCGUAACA